GGUAAUGUAGCUUAAUGUUAUGGCACUUGCUUAUCAUGUGCAAGGUUCUAGGUUCAAUCCCCAGCACUGUCA
rnacentral:tRNA from 1 species